GGAGUUGUGGCUCAGUGGUAGAGUGCUUACCUAGCAUGUGUGAGGCACUUGGUUCGAGCCUCAGCACCA
rnacentral:tRNA from 1 species